rnacentral:rRNA from 1 species
UACGUAGGCAGCGAGCGUUGUUCGGAUUUACUGGGCGUAAAGGGUGUGUAGGCGGUUGUUUAAGUUUGGUGUGAAAUCUCCCGGCUCAACUGGGAGGGUGCGACGAAUACUGAAUAACUAGAGUGCGGGAGAGGAAAGUGGAAUUCCUGGUGUAGCGGUGAAAUGCGUAGAUAUCAGGAGGAACACCGGUGGUGUAGACGGCUUUCUGGACCGUAACUGACGCUGAGACACGAAAGCGUGGGUAGCAAACAGG